rnacentral:rRNA from 1 species
GUCUACGGCCAUACCACGUUGAAAAUACCGGUUCUCGUCCGAUCACCCAAGUCAAGCAACAUUGGGCUUGGAUGACCACUUGGGAAUGCGACGUGUUGUUGACA